rnacentral:rRNA from 1 species
CAGUAGCCGCGGGAAUACGGAGGGUGCAAGCGUUAAUCGGAAUUACUGGGCGUAAAGCGUGCGCAGGCGGUUUGUUAAGACAGAUGUGAAAUCCCCGGGCUUAACCCGGGAACUGCAUUUGUGACUGGCAAGCUAGAGUAUGGCAGAGGGGGGUGGAAUUCCGCGUGUAGCAGUGAAAUGCGUAGAUAUGCGGAGGAACACCGAUGGCGAAGGCAGCCCCCCUGGGCCAAUACUGACGCUGAGGCGCGAAAGCGUGGGGAGCAAACAGGAUUAGAUACCCCAGUAGUCCCUGUCUCUUAUA